GCCACCUUAGCUCAGUUGGUAGAGCACCGCUUUCGUAAAGCGGUUGUCCGCAGUUCGAUUCUGCGAGGUGGCU
rnacentral:tRNA from 1 species